rfam:Gossypium arboreum cultivar AKA8401 contig_75460_1, whole genome shotgun sequence.
UAUUAAAAAUUUCAUCCAUUUUUACUGUAAAAAAUUCGCAUGACUAAUGGCAUAAUCAAACAAUUACACGUGGUGUGCCACGUUUACCUAAUGCCAACGUACAAAGACUAGUUUUUAAUAAUAGAAAUAGAUAGAAAUUUUAACA